rnacentral:rRNA from 1 species
GCCCAACAGCUAGCCCAAAACCCAACACCAACAUCCCCCUAUAAAUAACCCCUAAAACACUCGAACACAACAAAACAAACCAUUUUUCCCUUUUAGUAUGUGAGACAGAAAAAUAAACCGGAGCAACAGAACAAGUACCGCAUGGGAAUGCUGAAAGAGAAAUGAAACAAACCAGUAAAGCACUAAACAGCUAAGACCAAAACUCAUAACUUUUGCU